CCUACGGGGGGCUGCAGUGGGGAAUAUUGGACAAUGGGGGCAACCCUGAUCCAGCCAUGCCGCGUGUGUGAAGAAGGCCCUCGGGUUGUAAAGCACUUUCAGUGAGGAAGAACGCCUGGUGGUUAAUACCCAUCAGGAAAGACAUCACUCACAGAAGAAGCACCGGCUAACUCCGUGCCAGCAGCCGCGGUAAUACGGAGGGUGCGAGCGUUAAUCGGAAUUACUGGGCGUAAAGCGCGCGUAGGUGGCUUGAUAAGCCGGUUGUGAAAGCCCCGGGCUCAACCUGGGAACGGCAUCCGGAGCUGUCAAGCUAGAGUGCAGGAGAGGAAGGUAGAAUUCCCGGUGUAGCGGUGAAAUGCGUAGAGAUCGGGAGGAAUACCAGUGGCGAAGGCGGCCUUCUGGACUGACACUGACACUGAGGUGCGAAAGCGUGGGUAGCAAACAGGAUUAGAUACCCCGGUAGUC
rnacentral:rRNA from 1 species